GUGCCAGCCGCCGCGGUAAUACGUAGGUGGCAAGCGUUGUCCGGAAUUAUUGGGCGUAAAGGGCUCGCAGGCGGUUCCUUAAGUCUGAUGUGAAAGCCCCCGGCUCAACCGGGGAGGGUCAUUGGAAACUGGGGAACUUGAGUGCAGAAGAGGAGAGUGGAAUUCCACGUGUAGCGGUGAAAUGCGUAGAGAUGAGGAGGAACACCAGUGGCGAAGGCGACUCUCUGGUCUGUAACUGACACUGAGGAGCGAAAGCGUGGGGAGCAAACAGGAUUAGAAACCCUCGUAGUCC
rnacentral:rRNA from 1 species